AAACAGCAAUAACCUAGCAAUAGACAAUAGUUAUUAUCUGCUUCGCGGUGAUGGCUGUAUCUGUGUCACUACCACUCCAUUGUUCUCCCGCCACUAACAGUCUUCGAUUAUCAUCAAAAUCCACUUCAUUUACCCUCCGCCGCGUCAACCACCGCACUUGUGUCGCCAGCGGUGGCAGUCCUCUCCUCCAAGUUAAUGAUCUGAAGGCUAAGAUCGUUGAAUCCGAUGUGGAAAUUCUUCGCGGCGUUAACCUCACUGUGAAUCAAGGUGAGGUUCACGCCAUCAUGGGAAAGAACGGUUCUGGAAAGAGCACUUUCGCCAAGGUUCUUGUUGGCCAUCCGGAUUAUCAAGUUACCGGAGGUAGCGUUGUGUUCAAAGGGGAGAAUUUGCUUGAUAUGGAACCUGAGGAAAGGUCUCUUGCGGGUCUUUUUAUGAGUUUCCAGUCCCCUGUUGAGAUCCCUGGUGUUUCUAAUGACGAGUUUCUGGUCAUGGCUUACAAUGCUCGAAGAAAAAAACUUGGCCUCCCUGAGCUUGGACCACUCGAGUGCUUUUCUUACCUCAUGGAGAAACUCCAACUUGUUAACAUGAAGCCCGACUUUCUCAAUAGGAAUGUCAAUGAAGGAUUUAGUGGCGGUGAACGCAAACGGAAUGAAAUUUUGCAGCUUGCGGUUUUGGGGGCAGACUUGGCAAUACUGGACGAAAUUGAUUCUGGUUUGGAUGUUGAUGCACUCAGAGAUGUGGCAAGUGCAGUCAAUCGAAUUUUGACACCAGAGAAUUCUUUAUUGAUGAUCACUCAUUAUCGACGAAUUCUGGAUCUUUUAAAUCCUACACAUGUCCAUGUUAUGGACAAAGGAAAGAUUACAAGGACGGGCGACUUAUCUAUGGUAGAAGCUAUUGAGGCAGGGGGAUAUGAAACAGUCUCAGCUUCAUGACUUCGAUAAUGAGCAGAAAAACAUUUUCAACAUAGAUGUUUGAGUUCAGGUGCACUACGGGGUAAAAUUCCUUCACGUUCAAUUUUAAAAGAUAUGUAAGCAGUGUUAUAGUGAAGCAGAUGCACUAAUAUUCUGAUGGCUCCUUUCAUUUUUUUCCCCAUUCUCUCAUGGUUGCAUUUUGAAAAAUGAGGAAGCAAACUGUCUGAAGCUCAUGUUGGCAAAUGUUGAUGCUUAUUGACAUUGGACGUAUAUUCUUCUGGGCAUUAUUACCGUAGGCUUUAAUAGAGAAAUACAAAACUUUUGAAAUUUAUCAACUUAUCAAUCGAGGUUUCUAGCAUGCGGAUUUGGAAGUCUUGCUUAUGUUUAUUUUUCAAUUGGAAGGGCUUUUUCAGUGUUAACUACCAACUUUUGGAUCA